AUGCUGAUCUUGACCACAUCCUUCUCGGAAGUGGCUCUGGAGAGGCUGCUGUGGAAAUUGUCAUCAGGUGAUGUGAGGGAAGUGUGCUCUGCCCCCUGUGUGGAUGCCUGUGUCCUGUGUGUGGCUGGAGUAGGACUUGGCUUGUGGGUGAUCACAGAGAUGGAGACUGAGAAGCAGAUCCUUGCUUUGCUACUGACAAAAAGCAUGGGUGGUGCUCUGAUUGCUGGGAUGUUCGGACCCUGGCUGGGUCACGUGCUGCAGCCGGCGGAGCUGGAGAAGUCACGAGCCUUCCCACCGCAUGAGGCUGCCCUGCUGCUGCCUGGGUUGGCCAGGGGAGCCGUUGCCAUCGGAAGUCAGUCUGUUUGAAAUUUCUGUCAGUUCCAUCUACCAGUUGGUUGUCAUCCCCAAGGGUUCUAUGAUUUUCCGUGCUGCCAAGGAGGAUGAUAAAAGAUUUACUGACCUCAAUAUACAGACACUCAACUUACAAUGUCUCCAUGUCUCCGUAAAAGAUUUACUGACCUCAAUAUACAGACACUCAACUUACAAUGUCUCCAUGUCUCCGUAAACCCAGCGUAUUCCUUUGAAAUACUGUCAGUAGAAAAUGCAUUUAGUACCCCCUACCUAGGGAGCAUGACAGCCUGGCCUGGCCCACCUUAAACACGCUCAAAACACACAUCAGCCCACAGUUGGGCAGAAUCAUCUCCCACAAAGCCCACUUGAUAUUAAAGUGUUGAGUUCUCAUGUGAUUUGUGGAAUAUUUUACUGAAAGUGAAAAACAGAACAGUUUCUACUGAAUGCCUGUCACUUUCACGUGAUCGUAAAGUCAAAAAAUCUAAGUGAAACCAUUUUACGUUGGGGAUAGUCUAUACCCUGUUAAUGUGCCUUAUUCUGGAAACCAUUCGAUGUGAGCUGAGGAAAUAGUCCAAACAGAACAUGGAGAAAAGCAG
rnacentral:lncRNA from 1 species